rnacentral:snRNA from 1 species
AUCGCUUCUCAGUUUUUCAGCUAAAAUCAAGUGUAGAAUC